UACGGAGGGUGCAAGCGUUGUCCGGAAUUAUUGGGUUUAAAGGGUGCGUAGGCGGCCCGUUAAGUCAGUAGUGAAAGUCUGUGGCUCAACCAUAGAAGUGCUAUUGAUACUGGCGGGCUUGAGUAUGCUAAAGGCAGGCGGAAUUUAUGGUGUAGCGGUGAAAUGCAUAGAUACCAUAAAGAACACCGAUAGCGUAGGCAGCUUGCCAGAGCAUAACUGACGCUGAGGCACGAAAGCGUGGGGAGCGAACAGG
rnacentral:misc_RNA from 1 species